rnacentral:lncRNA from 1 species
UCAGAAUAUCUGCCCGCAUCCGUUACGGAUAUUACCCGCAUCCGGAUCCGUAUUUUUUUUUACGGAUCCGGAUACGGAUCCGGAUAUAAAACUAUUAAUCUAGAUCCGAAUCCGGAUUUAGCCAACCCUAGUGCUGUUUAUCUCUUAACAGAACGAAUGAAAUAGAUAAUUAAAAAUAUAGCAAGAACGUAAGUGAUAAAUAUAAUAUUUAUAAGAGAUGAAAUUCUUUUAAUAAAUAUAGAAAAUAAUUGGAUAAUUAACUCAAAUUGAAGAAGAGAAAAUCGCAAUUACCCUUUAUUAUUAAUUUGUCUAGGAGUAGGAAGAUCAAGUUGCAGGGUUGCACAGUGUAAUCAAUGGCUUUUUGGUAUGAUGUAACAUCAAAAUCAGAUUAUACAGUGUCAUAUCAAAAGGCUGCAAGUUAACUGUUUACAAAACUUGGGGCGGGGGUGGGGGUCUAUUACAACAUCAUAUCAAAUAAUUUAGCUCUGCAACUGCAAGACUCUGUCAAAUGAGCACCAAAUCAAUACGACAGCUUGUCCUUUUCUUUUUUAUUGCCAUUUUAGCUGUACAACAACCAUGUACACGUUCAGAGACAGUCAUUCUCUCCUUUUAAUAUUAGUAAAAUA